rnacentral:misc_RNA from 1 species
GAUGAAGAACGUAGCGAAAUGCGAUACGUAAUGUGAAUUGCAGAAUUCAGUGAAUCAUCGAAUCUUUGAACGCAUAUUGCGCUCUCUGGUAUUCCGGAGAGCAUGCUUGUUUGAGUAUCAGUAAACACCUCAACUUCCAUAUCUUUUUUGAAAUGGGAGUUGGACUUGAGUGAUCCCAACGCUUUUCCUCACCGAAAAGUGGCGGGUUACUUGAAAUGCAGGGGCAGCUGGACUUUUCUCUGAGCUAUAAGCAUAUCUAUUUAGUCUGCCUAAAAAACAGAUUAUUACCUUUGCUGCAGCUAACAUAAAGGAGAUUAGUUCUUGUGCUGACUGAUGCAGGAUUCACAAAGACAGGCUUCGGCCGACUUUGUAAACUCGAUCUCAAAUCAAGUAAGACUACCCGCUGAACUUAAGCAUAUCAAUAAGCGGAGGA